GGAUUAGAUACCCUGGUAGUCCACGCCGUAAACGAUGAGUGCUAAGUGUUGGAGGGUUUCCGCCCUUCAGUGCUGCAGCUAACGCAUUAAGCACUCCGCCUGGGGAGUACGGUCGCAAGACUGAAACUCAAAGGAAUUGACGGGGGCCCGCACAAGCGGUGGAGCAUGUGGUUUAAUUCGAAGCAACGCGAAGAACCUUACCAGGUCUUGACAUCCUCUGACAAUCCUGGAGACAGGACGUUCCCCUUCGGGGGACAGAGUGACAGGUGGUGCAUGGUUGUCGUCAGCUCGUGCCG
rnacentral:rRNA from 1 species